rnacentral:rRNA from 1 species
AUUGAACGCUGGCGGCAGGCCUAACACAUGCAAGUCGCACGAGUGGCGGAAGGGUAAGUAAUGUAUAGGAAACUGCCCGAUGGAGGGGGAUAACUACUGGACACGAUAGCUAAUACCGCAUCCCAUCGGCUGUGCCAAGGUGUGAUUAGCUAGUAGGUUGGGUAAUGUCUCACCUAGGCGACGAUCCCUAGCUGGUCUGAAAGGAUGACCAGCCACACGGGAACGUAGACACGGUCCAGACCCCUACGGGAGGCAGCAGUGGGGAGGAUUGCACAAUGGGCGCUGGCCUGAUGCAGCCAUGCCGCGUGUAUGAAGAAGGCCUUCGGGUUGUAAAGUACUUUCAGCGAGGAGGCUUUACUCGCAGAAGAAGCCCCGGCUAACUCCGUGCCAGCAGCCGCGGUAAUAC